rnacentral:lncRNA from 1 species
UUUUAUUAAAAAAUAAAGACAAAGAUGCAAACAUAAUGGCAAUCCUAUAUUAUUAACAUGAAAUGCUCAUGCAAAUGCACCCCCAAACCUGAAUUGGACAUUGUGCUCAAUGACAAGAUCAUCAUCACAAUACAUAUUAUAGCAAGGCAUUCUUAAAGGUUAGGGGUACUCCCCUUUGUAGCGUGCCUAUGCACUUGUGUGAGUUUGCAACUCGUCCUCAGUCAUUUCAUCUCUCUUGUCUUCUUCAAUGUGCCUACAAAAAGUAAACAACGUCCAUUCAAACUUUGAAAAUAUAGUGAGGAUUAAAAUUGACUCAAAAAAUAAAGAAAAUAAAAAGAAUUUUGCUUGGGUUAUCUCCCAAGAAGCGCUAGUUUAUAGUCGUUAGCUUGACUAUCCCAAUGCAUUAUGUCAGUGAUAUGGAGGUUUUUGGUUGCUCAAAUCCUCCAUCUAUGUAUUCCUUCAACCUUUACCUAUUGACCUUGAAGGUCCUAUCACCACUCUUCAGCUCAACAGCUCCAUGUGGAAAAACUUGUAUAAUCUCAAAUGGACCUGACCACCUAGAC